CUGGCUGUAAUACUGGCCCUGAUUGGUUCUCUAACAGGCCCUCCCUGAUUGGCUGCCACCUUGAACAGCCACUCUGGCCUGUUGAAGCCCAAUCUGGCAUGGGGUGGGGCACUGCUGCACCACACCUACCCCACUCUAUUUUCAAGAUGGAAAAUGCUCAACAGGCCAAAUCCAUUCUCAGUUACUCAGGUAGAGCUCAACUGACUCCAAUAAAAUUGCAUAAGAAUAACUGAGAGCUGAAUUUAGACCUCUUUUUUAGAAGUGGUAACAGUCCUUGAGGAUUUACCCUCCCUCAGCUGUCCAUGUUUUAAAGAAGCCUAUCCAUCCAUAUAACAGGGAGAGACAACAGACUUGCCUGCCUAUGAUGGAUGGUCAAGUGGAAGUCCCCGUGGUCCUUUUCAAAAAGAAUAGAAGAUAACCUUGCUCCUGGACCAACUUUCCCACCCUCAGUGGUAUAGGUUCCUGUGCUCUAGACUGCUUGUAACAUGUUACUUGAUGUAUAAUGACUGCUGCCUUUGCAUAAAGGUCUCCUUCAAUCUGCACAG